rnacentral:rRNA from 1 species
UACAGAGGUCUCAAGCGUUGUUCGGAUUCAUUGGGCGUAAAGGGCGCGUAGGCGGCCAUUCAAGUGACGGGUGAAAGCCCUCGGCUUAACCGAGGAACUGCCUGUCAGACUGGAUGGCUUGAGGCCGGGAGAGGUGAGUGGAAUUCCCAGUGUAGCGGUGAAAUGCGUAGAUAUUGGGAGGAACACCAGUGGCGAAGGCGGCUCACUGGACCGGAACUGACGCUGAGGCGCGAAAGCGUGGGGAGCAAACAGG